rnacentral:rRNA from 1 species
UACAGAGGCCCCAAGCGUUAUCCGGAAUCACUGGGCGUAAAGGGUGUGUAGGUGGUGUUAUUAGUCAUUUGUUAAAGACCCCGGCCUAACCGGGGGAAAGCGAAUGAAACGGUAACGCUAGAGGAUGCGAGGGGUGUGUGGAACUCAUGGUGUAGGGGUGAAAUCCGUUGAUAUCAUGAGGAACACCAAAAGCGAAGGCAACACACUGGCGCAUUCCUGACACUGAAACACGAAAGCGUGGGUAGCGAACGGG